CCUACGGGUGGCAGCAGUGAGGAAUAUUGGUCAAUGGCCGAGAGGCUGAACCAGCCAAGUCGCGUGAGGGAAGACGGCCCUACGGGUUGUAAACCUCUUUUGCCGGGGAGCAACGGGCGUCACGUGUGGCGCCACUGAGAGUACCCGGCGAAAACGCAUCGGCGAACUCCGUGCCAGCAGCCGCCGUAAUACGGAGGAUGCGAACCGUAUUCGGAUUGAUUGGGUUUAAAGGGUGCGUAGGCGGAUCGUUAAGUCAGUGGUAAAAUUGAGGGGCUCAACCCCUUCCCGCCAUUGAAACUGGCGUUCUUGAGUGGAAGAGAAGUAUGCGGAAUGCGUGGUGUAGCGGUGAAAUGCAUAGAUAUCACGCAGAACCCCGAUUGCGAAGGCAGCAUGCCGGCUUCCGACUGACGCUGAAGCACGAAAGCGUGGGGAUCGAACAGGAUUAGAUACCCCAGUAGUC
rnacentral:rRNA from 1 species